GAUGAACGCUGGCGGCGUGCCUAAUACAUGCAAGUCGAGCGAACGGACGAGGAGCUUGCUUCUCUGAUGUUAGCGGCGGACGGGUGAGUAACACGUGGAUAACCUACCUAUAAGACUGGGAUAACUUCGGGAAACCGUAGCUAAUACCGGAUAAUAUAUUGAACCGCAUGGUUCAAUAGUGAAAGACGGUCUUGCUGUCACUUAUAGAUGGAUCCGCGCUGCAUUAGCUAGUUGGUAAGGUAACGGCUUACCAAGGCAACGAUGCAUAGCCGACCUGAGAGGGUGAUCGGCCACACUGGAACUGAGACACGGUCCAGACUCCUACGGGAGGCAGCAGUAGGGAAUCUUCCGCAAUGGGCGAAAGCCUGACGGAGCAACGCCGCGUGAGUGAUGAAGGUCUUCGGAUCGUAAAACUCUGUUAUUAGGGAAGAACAAAUGUGUAAGUAACUGUGCACGUCUUGACGGUACCUAAUCAGAAAGCCACGGCUAACUACGUG
rnacentral:rRNA from 1 species